UAAAUCCUGCUGAGGUAUAUACAACUCUACAAGCUGGUUCUCAAAUCCUUUUUUUGGAACGAGACUGAAGGAUUUCUGCAUAAAUAAUCAUAGUGGAAUUUUCAAGAUAUUUCAACGGUCUGUGGUGGCCAAAUAUGUGGAAUUGAGGCUGUUCCAGUAAAUCUGGAAUGAAUUGACACUCUAUCCACAGAGUAUGAAACUGUGUGUAGAGUAUGCAUGUGCGCGCGCGUGCACACACACACACAUACACACACACACACACACACAGGAAGAAUUCUUUUCUUGUCCAGACACUGGCAUUGGCAGUGAAACCAUCCAUUCCAAACCAAAGGAGCCCCCUCACCAAUGGCCUUGCCGCCCAGGAACCCUGCAGGGCAGAAGUUGGGGAGGGGAUAGCAGUCUGAAUAGCGGUCUUGGAUGGCUGGAAGCUGGCACCUGUGAACAAGCACCCAUGAUGGUGAUGCAUCCGGAACCAGGCUGCCCAGCCAACCAGUGCUUUCCCACCGGAGCUUUUGCUCUGGGCUCCUCUGCCGUUGAUUUCCCAGGUCCCGCCUUGCAUUUUCUCCCUCAUCUUCACAUGUGGGGAGCCCCUGACCGGCUGCUGAAGACCCCCAGACAAGCCUUCAGCUUCCAGAUCAUGGAAGGCAGCAUGGGGAGGCAGGAGACCCCUGGGAGGGCGGAGCAUGACUUUUGUCCAGGAGGCUGGACUACCGACUUCAGCAGGCUCUGGUUGGCUCUGGAGGACAUCCCUCAAGAAGUGCUGGCAGAUGUUAGAUUCCCGCCACCUGGAGGCCUGACCUCACCUGAGGGCAUCCCUGCCUGUCCAUGUCUUUUGACUGGGUGGGCAGCCCUGCCUACCUCUCUGCAGCUUCAAACACCAGCCGCUUCCACUCAGAGACACUCAAAAUGUGUCGAGGGAGGUUGUCCUCUGGACUCCUGGGAAUUGACCACCAGCAUGCGCUGCUCCGCUGACAAGGGAAAGGGCCCUCUGGCCCGCACAGCAUGGAUAUGGGCAGAACGGUUUUUCCUAACUAGGCCUUCUGGGUUGCAGCAGAACAGCAUGUGUCUGCUUCUCAAAUGUAACAGGACAAGAUGUUCAGGUCUUGUGUCCUCUGUGAAGCAGGGCUGCAAGGACCCCUUACCAAGGAGAAGAUUGUCUCUGGAAACUGCGAAAUCUGACCAGAAGGCCCUUAGCCUCCCAGGCUCUGUAGCUUCUGCAGUGAUGAGGCCUGGCCACCAGAUGGCUCCACAGAGGCCACUGCUCUCUCAGGGAAGAGGAGGUUGCAGAGAAACAGGAGGGAAGCAGGUCUCCAUGGUCCCUUGGCCCGCACUCUCUGCUUUACAGGAGUUGCUACCUGGUUGAGCAAGGCCCCGGACUGUAACAGCUGCUGGAUUUCUCUAGACCUCAGUUUCCAACAUUUGCAGAAAGGGGCAAGUC
rnacentral:lncRNA from 1 species